rnacentral:rRNA from 1 species
AGGGGGACAACAGUUGGAAACGACUGCUAAUACCGCAUACGAUCUAAUCUCGGCAUCGAGGAUGGAUGAAAGGUGGCCUCUACAUGUAAGCUAUCACUGAAGGAGGGGAUUGCGUCUGAUUAGCUAGUUGGAGGGGUAACGGCCCACCAAGGCGAUGAUCAGUAGCCGGUCUGAGAGGAUGAACGGCCACAUUGGGACUGAGACACGGCCCAG